UUUUAAUCCAUCCCCCCACCCAUUCCUCCUUGCCAUCUGGGCUCCGCGCUUCGUCGCGUCACGGAGCUAAAAAGGUUAUAGAAUACUAAACUUCGUUGUUGCGUUUUUGCUCUCUGCAUUCUAAAAAAAUCAUCUUAAUAUCUAUUGUAAACUAGUGCAGAACGUGGGAAGUGUUGGAGUGUUUAACAGUUAUACCUAGAUAAACAAGGUUUUUUAAAAUGUCAAAACGAAGCACUAAUCGUAGCAACAAAAAUAUGUUGCUUCCUGGAAAGAACAACAAGAGCUAUAAAGAUGAAGAUAUUGUUGAACCAGUUUCAGAAGAGAGCAUUUUGUUGAUGAUGGCAGAAAAUCAAUCUCUGAAACAACAGUUGGAGAGACUACACAUAAUAAUAAAACAGUAUUCUCAUUGCCCAGCAGUUGUCGAAUACCUGCAGAAAUAUAAUGUAAAAUAAUUCAUUGAUGUGCAAUAUUUUUGGUGUUUCGUACAUUUAUAUUGUAUUGAUUGUAUAUAUUUGACAUUUGGAAUAAUACUAGGUUUCUGUAUCAAG